GACGAACGCUGGCGGCGUGCUUAACACAUGCAAGUCGAACGGAAAGGCCCUUCUGUGGGUACUCGAGCGGCGAACGGGCGAGUAACACGUGAGUAACUUGCCCUCGCUUUCGGGAUAACUUCCGGAAACUGGGGCGAAUACCGGCCAGGAAUCCUCGCUGCAUGGAGGGGGUGGGUAAGCUUCGGCGGUUUUGGAUGGAUUUGCCGGCUAUCAGUCUGCUGGUGGGGGGGUGGCUUACCAAGGCAUUGUCGGGUAGCCGGCCUGAGGGGGCGGCCGGCCACAUUGGGACUGGGGUACGGCCCAGACUCCUACGGGGAGCAAGAGGGGGGAAUAUUGCACAAUGGGCGGGAGCCUGGUGCAACAACGCCGCGUGCGGGAAGACGGCCUUCGGGUUGGAAACCGCUUUCAGCAGGGGCGGAGCUUGUGGUGACGGUACCUGCAGAAGAAGCACCGGCUAACUACGUG
rnacentral:rRNA from 1 species